rnacentral:rRNA from 1 species
UACGAAGGGGGCUAGCGUUGCUCGGAAUUACUGGGCGUAAAGCGCGUGUAGGCUGCUUCGAAAGUCGGAUGUGAAAGCCCUGGGCUCAACCUAGGAAGUGCAUUCGAAACUUCGAAGCUGGAGUCCUGGAGAGGAAGGCGGAAUUCUCGGUGUAGAGGUGAAAUUCGUAGAUAUCGAGAGGAACACCGGUGGCGAAGGCGGCCUUCUGGACAGUGACUGACGCUGAGACGCGAAAGCGUGGGGAGCAAACAGG